CAGCAGGAAAUGGACUGACACAGUCUUGGGCGCUUUGUACAUGGUGUACAUUCCACAGGAUUCAUUUCAUUUAAAGUGCCUCUUGGUUUGUCAUGAGGAAUAAGCUUGGCACUCGCUCUUCUGCUUAGCCUCGCACCUCUAUCCUGGGGGACAAACGUAGGGAGUCAAGAGUCGACACCAGGAAAGGGGAGUCGUCUGCAGAGAGACGGGAAGACGCAGUGAUGUGACUCUGUGCCAAAUGUUUACAGGCGAGCUGACAUAGUUAGAAGAUGGAGAGGGCUGAAAUGAGCCUGUCUCUCUCUGCACUCUUAGAGGAGCGAGAGAUAGGAAAUCUAGGUCAUCGCCACUGAUGCAUUGCAAAGCGAACUUCAAACAAACCUGGCCUUUAGCGCGAUGGCUCUCCAAAGCUGUGCUACAUGCCAUCAGAGACUGAUCACCAUUUUCUGCCAAGAGCUGCCAAGACAUGAUAAUAUGUAAAAUAAACACAAUCUUUAUCUG
ensembl:lncRNA